UACGUAGGGUGCAAGCGUUGUCCGGAAUUAUUGGGCGUAAAGGGCUCGUAGGCGGUCCAUCACGUCGGGAGUGAAAAGCUGGGGCUUAACCCCAGUCCUGCUUCCGAUACGGGUGGACUAGAGGUAGGCAGGGGAGAACGGAAUUCCUGGUGUAGCGGUGAAAUGCGCAGAUAUCAGGAGGAACACCAGCGGUGUAGACGGCUUUCUGGACCAUUGCUGACGCUGAGACACGAAAGCGUGGGUAGCAAACAGG
rnacentral:rRNA from 1 species